CGCCAUCCCCCGCCGCGCGCCGCCGCUCGCCAUCCCACCCGCCGCCGCCGCUCGCCAUCCCUCCCCGCCGCCGCUCCCAAACCCUCAGCACGCCGCGCUCCGCCGUCGUCGCGUCCUCUGAUUCUCGCCUCACCGCCAGUCGCCAUCCCUCGCCGCUGCCGCCGCUCGGCAUCCCCGCUUGCUCCAUCGACGAUCUGCGCCGCCUCGAUCUCUGCUCGUGUAGAGCAUGCCUAUCCCCCGGCCGAUUCGCAGCGUGGCUGGAGAAGGGAGCUCGAGGCCUCGAGCGCUGCCGCCCAUUAAUCUCCCGAGCCCAAGUGCCGCCGGCCGAUUUGAGCCUGUCCUUCGCCGAUUCGAGCCAGUCCGCGCCGAUUCGUCAUCCUCCACAGGCCCUUCGUCCCAAGUUCGUCAGGCUGGAGGUCCUGCAGGUCCACUGCGGAGCUCGCUCACGCAGGCUCACGGCUGGAUCUCACACGGAUCCGGCAAGGACUGGUCCGGCAGCUCCCUGCUACGACGUUCUUAUCGGGUGGCUUUUCAUUGGAGGCAGUGGUGAGAUUGAAGCCUUAGGGGCUAGGUAAGAGGCCGAGAGCAAUGAGCUCCAAGGGUGUACAAAGGCGCGGCCAGGAUGACAAAUGCGGAAGAGAGACCUGGAGCGGAGAGAUACUGCAGACUUCGGGCCCACCGUCCCAGACCCUACUUCUUCAUCCCAGUGCUGAUUCCAUUUUGUGCUUACAUUGAUGCUUCAAGCAGUCGAUUUGCUUGUUUCUGCUGCGCAGCAACUGCUACAUGGCGCAGCCGAUGGCUUGCUCGGUGGGCAAGCUGCCUGACAGCCUUGCUGGCAGGGAUACUUAAUGAUGCGGGCAACACAGAUCUAGCGACAGCUAGCGCAUGAUUGAUGCUAGUGACGCAUCAUCUUGUGCAAGACCAAGAACAGCAACAUCGAAUCCGUACUGGACAAAGCACGAGAGAUAUGUUCUGCAAACUCCUUCAAGAACCACUCCAAGCUAGGUCCUCUCCUCCGCAUGGGGUUUUCACCUGGUUCACCGCACAUCGCACAAAACUGACGUUGGGGAGACGAACAGACGUUUAAUUGGAGAGAGGGUCAAAGCAUCUUCGACAGGCAUGACUAUGUGACUGCUCAACUAGAAGAUGACAUUGAACUUUCACCAUCUCAUAUCCAUCAGGUGCGGCUACGGGUGCAGUGGAACAUGGAGCAGUAAGCGAUGAUGUGGCCACAGGACAUAGUAUGUUCCUAUUGGGCGUGUGACUCUGCUGAACCUAUAGUAUCUUUAGCUAGCAAGUAUGCUUUAUUCUGAACUACCGUUAUCUGCCUGCAGCUUAAAUAUUGCAUCAGAGCAGUGGCAGAUCCAGAAACGGGCUCCGCCCCGGGCUAACUAAUAUAAGGCUUAAAAUCUUACUAGCCAUACACUAUUAGAUAUAA